AGAGCACAAGCCGGUAGGUCUGAUCUGAGGGGAAAAGUGGGAGCAGAGGCCUUCUUUUGAGGUGGGGUUGCUUCUCUGGGUUUUUGGAAACAAGAUCUGGCCCUGAUGGGGUGGGCUGCAGUAAGUGGGCAAGAGGGAGGUUGGUUAGUGUAAUGGUCAAAAUGCACAGUUUUGGGAGCUACACAGCAUUUGGUUCAGGUCCGGGCUAGGUAGCAUCUUAGCAGUGUGGCCUUAGGCAGGCCACUUAACCUCAUCUGUGGAAUGGUGACAGUGACAUCCACCUCACUGGAUUAAAUAAGACAACAUGCGGAGAAGCCCCAGGCACAUUGAAAUACUUACAUGUUCUUCUGUUUCCCCAGCCAGCCUCCUGCAUCCCCCUUGGCAAGGAUCAGAGUAACAUGGAGACCUGGGUAGGAUUUAGAUAGUAAUGAUAACUGCCCCUUGCACCACAUUCUAGAACUUACCAAGUACUUUCCUGUCCUUUAUCUCAUGAUAGUAUGGGGCAACACUGAUGGGAAAACUGAGGUUGAGAGAAAUUCAGUGAGUUGCUCAAAGUCACUCACUGGGACAUAGGAAAGGGGAGGGGUAUACUUCUGCCCUGAGACCCACUGUGCCAACUGAUUGCUGCUGGUGACAAAGCCUUCUGUGUUAGCCCAUUUUGCAUUACUAUAAAGGAAUACUGGAGACUGGGUAAUUUAUAAAGAAAACAGGUUUGUUUGGCUCACAGUUCUGCAAGCUGUACAAGAAGUGUAGUGCCAGCAUCUGCUUUUGGUGAGGCCUCAAGAAUCUUCCAAUCAUGGCAGAAGGCAGAGGGGGAGCUGGCAUGUCACAUGGCGAAAGAGGGAGCAAGUGAGGGGGGAGAUGCUAUCUCUUUUAAACAGCCAGCUCUCUCAUGAAUGAAUAGACUGAGAACUUACUCAUUACUAUGGGGACAGCACCAAGCUAUUUAUUAGGGAACUGCCCCCAUGACCCAAACACCUCCCACUAGGCCCACCUCCAACACUGGAGGUCAUAUUUCAACAUGAGAUUUGGAGGGGACAAAACAUCCAAACCGUGUCUCCUCCCAAACCCCUUAAAGACAGAAUUUGUGAGCCCACGUGUGGUGGGGUGGAGCAAUAAGGAGACUCCCAGGGAAUUUCUGCUUGGUCUGGGCUCCUAUUUAGCUAGCUGAUGUGUAGGCAAGGAUUUCUGGACUGGGAAGCUGUUCUCUACCAUUCUGUUUAGGGUGCACUGGUCAGGGUGGGUGUGGAGGGGUGGCUCUGUUUCUCCUGCAUCUGACCUUUUGGCCUGGCCUCUUGGGUGCCCAGCCAAGGCCCAGUGCCCCUCCCUGUGGCUGAUUCACCACCUCCAGCUGUGUUUUUGGGAAAUGAAUGGAGAAUCAGGCUGCCAGGCUGGGAAGGACUGGGGCAAAUAGACCACACAUGUAGGUAGCAGUUAGCAUAACUGGCCGCAUGGUUCUGGGCAGGCAGCUGGCAGAGGUGUUAGGCCAGGGCAAUCAUGAAUUGGGGCAGGCUGGGGGGAGUCCUGGUCAGGUAGGAAGUGAAGCUGGGCAGGCAGCUGGCUCUGCAGUUGGCUGAGGUCGGAGAGGACAUAGUGUGGGCUGACAGCUGGUGUGGAGGAUGGAGGCGGUCAGGAACCAGCCUCAGGGAAAGGCUCCAGCACCACGGACAGCUCUGGGGAGGCGUCCUUCUGUUGUUCAGAUCCCGCCGCAGUUUGAGACCUUUACCUGAGAGUCACUUAAGCCCCUAUAUUUCUGUAGUUGUUCAAGAGCCUUUGCACACCUCCUUCUUAGCGUGGUCUUUAAGAAGUCACUCUAACAGCUCUCCAGCUCUGUUUCCAGAGGAAUGCCCAUGACUUUGACCUAUUUGGGGUUUCCCUGAGGGGUUCACAUCUUUCAAGAGUCCAGUUUGUUGGUGGGUGAUCCUGUCAUUCUCUGGGGUGCACAUAUUUUAGGGCCAGGGCCUAGCCAGGGACCCAAUCUUGAUUGUAAGUAGGCCAGCGAAGUCUGACCUGGGUUGGGGGAGGGAUUCCCUGCUUCCCCUCAGCCCAGUCAUGGUCCCCACCUCCAUCAUGUCCCCAGUGCCCUGUACACAUGAAUCUCUCCCAGCUCCUCUUUUUCCUCUCCUUUUGCUUGUGACUGCUUGAGUGAAUCAGGGCUGAAGAUCAGAAGUCCCCAGUCAAGGAGCUUUCCCCACUAAUGAGCUCUCCGAGGGCCUCUGACAGCCCCUCCCUUUGCCCCGCCCCACCCUGUUCAUUUAUUUAUAACACAGGGCACCAUCCCCCACAUCGCCAGAGAAGAAAGGGCCAAUCAGCUUGCAGUGCUGCCAAUCAACGUGAGAACGGGGGAGGGCAGAAGAGGAUGACUCAGAGAACUCGCGUGGGGGCAAAGUGAGAAGUACUAUAGGCUCUAUAAUUUAUCUCAGCAUAUUUUCAUCUAGCCCAAGCCUCUCACAUUGCAGAUGAGGUGUCUGAGGCCCAGAGCAGUAAAGUGACUUCUUAAAUCCACACAGCCAGUGAUGACCAAGCCAAGAACUGGAACCUGGGUGUGUUGAUUCCCAGUCCAGCACGAUUUCCACUACAGAACGUCUUUAGAAUGCAUUUGUCUUGAAGACUGAAGUGAGGUCUGUGUUUCAAUUGACAGCUUGGUAUUUUUCUGUCUGUCAACACUUUGAUAAAUUUAGAAGAAAUGGACUUAUGUUGGCACAUCUGCGAACUAGCGAAAAGAUCAAGAUUGUCACUGUGAUGGUAUCUUCACUCUACCACGUUGGAACAAAAUAGCAGCAUCGUAUUAACCAGAAGCUGCAUUUACCUGGACCAUACAUCAGCCCGAGCCUGUCUCCAGUGAAGAGUUGUGUCGUGCUGGAGGGACCAUUCAUCACACCUGCCCAGCUUCUGGAGGCUCUCCUGGGCUUUGGUGUCUUAGGUCAGAGCUGUCACAAACAUCCCACAUUCACCUUGUCCCUGUGAGGGGAGGGAGCUCCAAGUACUCUCUGGCCUUGAGAAAUGGCCCCUGAUAUUCCAUUGCUUCAGCUAUGACAUCUCUGUAGCAUCACAAUCUAUGCAACUUGGAUAGAGAGAGGCUAUGGGUCACACCAUCAAAUCUGAUUGAAAUUCAUCUUCAAUCAAUCAUGUUGAUGUUGUAUCUGGAGCUGACCUGGAAGCCUGAAUAUUCCUGGUCUUAUUUACUUCUCACACCAACCCAGCUAUCCCCAUUUCAGGGAUUACAAAAUGGAGCACUGACUUGCUCAGGGUUACUUAUGCUGCAGAAAAGGGGCAGAUCCAGGGUCGGAACUUGGGUCUCUUGACUCCAACACCAGUGCUCGUGCCACAAAGCCAGCUGCCUCAGUGAGUGGCUUCCUGGCUGGAUGGCUGGUUUCUCAGGGUACUGACUUGCUUUGAAUGUCCUUUCUCCCUUUGCCUCCCCAGAGGGCGGCUUAUUUCUUUAAGCUCAAGAAGAGGGAAAAGAAAAAAGGAGACGGUGAAAUAAAUUUAUUGCCAUGUUAGAAACAUUGGAUUGAAGAAUUGAUCCCUACAGCUAAGUAAUUUCCCUCUUUCGUGCAAAAUAUAAAUAAAUCUGUAUGGCUUACGCUGAACGAUGCGCCCGGGCCGCCGGCUGGAUUUCACGACAUGAAAUGCCCUUCAGAGUCUUGGGCUUCCUCUCCUUGACCCCACCAACGAGGUGUUCUAAAUGGCCCUUGUGUUGUCCCUGAAGGAGGGAUGUUGGCAGCUCCCUCGUCUUGCCUGCUACAGUUGGGCAGACUUAGGGAUGUCUUGCAGAGUCCUUCCACAGCUCAGCUCGACCCUGGCAGGUGUGGCCCAGAACGGCUGAUUUCCAGAACCGUAAAUAUACCAGCUUAAUUAUUACUGUUAUUCUUUUCUCUAGGCAAAAGGGGAGGAGGUGGAGGGUGGGGGGUUGGUAUCUCAAGUGUGUGAUUAUGUAACACAGAGCACUCCUUUUCCCUAAAGGUUUCAUCUAAUUUCUGUUAAGAGAUGGCCAGUGUGGUGUGUCCAAAUUAAUCACGGGGGGAAGCUUUAGUCAUCCUGCUCUCGUUGUGGUUUAAUUUUAGCAUGUUUCCCUGGGGUAGCCCUCCUUCCCAGCCUCUACCUAGUCUUAGGUAAUUACAAGCCUGGAAAGAAAGAGGGAGUGUUG
rnacentral:lncRNA from 10 species